AGAGUUUGAUCAUGGCUCAGGACGAACGCUGGCGGCGUGCUUAACACAUGCAAGUCGAGCGGGAAACUUCGGUUUCCAGCGGCGGACGGGUGAGUAACACGUGGGCAACCUGCCUCACAAUGAGGGAUAGCCUUCCGAAAGGAAGAUUAAUACCUCAUAACACAAGAGAAACGCAUGUUUCUUUUGCCAAAGAAUUUCGUUGUGAGAUGGGCCCGCGGCGCAUUAGCUAGUUGGUGAGGUAACGGCUCACCAAGGCUUCGAUGCGUAGCCGACCUGAGAGGGUGAUCGGCCACAUUGGAACUGAGACACGGUCCAGACUCCUACGGGAGGCAGCAGUGGGGAAUAUUGCACAAUGGAGGAAACUCUGAUGCAGCAACGCCGCGUGAGUGAUGAAGGUCUUCGGAUUGUAAAGCUCUGUCUUCUGGGACGAUAAUGACGGUACCAGAGGAGGAAGCCACGGCUAACUACGUGCCAGCCGCCGCGGUAAUUCA
rnacentral:rRNA from 1 species